CUGGGUCAUGGGUUUGCCUGGGCGGGGGUCUCUGGGUCAUGGGUUUGCCUGGGCGGGGGUCCCUGGGUCUUGGGUUUGCCCGGGUGCGGGUCUCUGGGUCAUGGGUUUGCCCGUGUCAUGGGCUUGCCUGGAUGGGGGCUGUAACAGCAGAACUGUCUUCAAUGGCCCCCUAUUCACGACAGGACACUAGUGGCCAAGGCCCCCUAUUCACUACAGGACACUACUUCAAUGGCCCCCUAUUGACCACAGGACACUAGUGGCCAGGGCCCGUAGAGCACUAGACGGACCGUUUCAGGACAGAUCCAGGAACAGGCGGAUGGAGAAGCAAACCACUGAUCUGAUUAGUAACUUUGUCAGAAUGACUGGAUUGACCAACAUGUGGCUCUGAAAUGGAAGCCUAUUCCCUAUAUAGUGCUCUGCUUUUUGACACUGUAGUGCCUUAUCUAGGGAAUAGGGUGCCAUUUUUCAUGCGCGCUUUGAAACCUAAGAUAUAACAGUUGUGUGUGUACAGUAUAAAUACAAAGAAAGAUAACUAUUUUAAAAUAGAUAGGACAUUGCUGUUUAGCAUUUUCUAUUUAAAUUAUUUAUUUUUUUAGAUAUCGUACUAAUGCUAUAUUGACAUGCAUAUAAAUGUGUACAUACAUGUGGCAUUAACAGAUAUUUCGGUAACACUCGACACCCAGCGUCAUAGCAUGUUAUGACACUGUCAUAACCAUCUCAUAUCUGUUGUCACAACACUCAAAUGUAUAUUUACACAUGUGACAUUUUGUUAGUUUAUGGCUGGUGAUGACACCUGCCAUAAGUGUCCAAACCAACAUUUAUUAAAAUGUGUUUUCCCUGCCAAGAAGAUUCCUUUCAACGUUUGUUUCUUAAGUCCUUUGUUGUAAUGGAGUCUUUAGUCAUUUAGUUUUUUAAAUGUUAAAUAACUUGUAGAAAAUAUACAGUAUAGCACUAUCAUGAAGUAUUAUGUCUCUUUAUGACACUGGCAUGAAGCAUUACGACCAUCAUCAUGUCUGCCAGAUGGGCCUAUCAGCUACAUGACCUUAUGUCAGUCAUCAGUCACAUAGAGGGGGUAUUGUCCUGCUCCUGCAUUCAUCCCAGUCAUCAGUCACAUAGAGGGGGUCUUGUCCUGCUCCUGCAUUCAUCCUAGUCAUCAGUCACAUAGAGGGGGUCUUGUCCUUCCAGUCAUCAGAAACAGCAUUGGGCGGUAUAGGUGCAUGUCUGACAUCAAUGUGUACAAGAUUACAAUGAUUAAUUUAAUACGUCAAUCUAAGAAAAUGCUAUGUCACAUUUAACACACUGUUGACCAGUAGGCUGAUGGACUGGAAUGCUUUGGGUUGUUCGUUUGAACCCUUGUAGAGGUGUUAUAACCAGCCAUAAAAUAACACAAUAUGUCACAACAGUGUUAUGAACAUGUUAUGACACUGGGUGUCAAGUAAAGUGUUAUCGAUAUUUCUAAAUAGGUGAUUGGAAAUAGGUGUUUAAUAUUGAAUAAAAUGACUCCACUGUC
ensembl:lncRNA